rnacentral:rRNA from 10 species
CCUGGCGGCCUUACCACCAUGGACACGCCCGAUCUCGUCUUAUCUCGGACGCUAAGCAUGGUGGGCUCUUAGAUGGGAGACCGCCUGGGAAUACCAGGUGCUGUAAGUG